UGAAUCAAAACUUUCAACAACGGAUCUCUUGGCUCUGGCAUCGAUGAAGAACGCAGCGAAAUGCGAUAAGUAAUGUGAAUUGCAGAAUCCAGUGAAUCAUCGAAUCUUUGAACGCACAUUGCGCCCGCCAGCAUUCUGGCGGGCAUGCCUGUUCGAGCGUCA
rnacentral:rRNA from 1 species